GAAAGACUUGUGAAUCCAGGAAGAGAGACUGACUGGGCAACAUGUUAUUCAGAAUCUCCCUGUGCCAUCCAGGCUGGAGUGCAGUGAUGUGAUCAUAGCUCACUAUAGCUUUGGCCUUCUGAGAUCAAGCAAUCCUCCCAUCUCAACCUCCCAAGUAGCUAGGACUACACAUGCAUGUCACCCAUGCCCAGAUCAUUUUUGUAGAGUCAGAGUUUCACCGUGGUGGCCAGGUUGGCCAUGUUGGCCAGAUGGGGUCUUCUUUUGUUGCCCAGGCUGGCCACAAAUUCCUGGGCUCAAGUGAUCCUCCCACCUCGUCCUUGUAGAGAUGAGAUUUAGUUACGUCGUCCAGGCUGAUCUCAAACUCCUGGGCUAAAUCGAUUGUCUCACCUCAGCCUCUCAAGUAUGUUAUGAAGGUUAUAUGUUAGGAAGGGUCCCAGG
rnacentral:lncRNA from 10 species